CAGCAGCCGCGGUAAUACGUAGGGUGCAAGCGUUAAUCGGAAUUACUGGGCGUAAAGCGUGCGCAGGCGGUUCUAUAAGACAGAUGUGAAAUCCCCGGGCUCAACCUGGGAACUGCAUUUGUGACUGUAGAGCUGGAGUACGGUAGAGGGGGAUGGAAUUCCGCGUGUAGCAGUGAAAUGCGUAGAGAUGUGGAGGAAUACCGAUGGCGAAGGCAGCCCCCUGGGCCAAUACUGACGCUCAUGCACGAAAGCGUGGGGAGCAAACAGGAUUAGAUACCCCAGUAGUCCCUGUCUCUUAUAC
rnacentral:rRNA from 1 species